rnacentral:rRNA from 1 species
GAUGAACGCUGGCGGCGUGCCUAAUACAUGCAAGUCGAGCGAACGGACGAGAAGCUUGCUUCUCUGAUGUUAGCGGCGGACGGGUGAGUAACACGUGGAUAACCUACCUAUAAGACUGGGAUAACUUCGGGAAACCGUAGCUAAUACCGGAUAAUAUUUUGAGCCGCAUGGUUCAAAAGUGAAAGACGGUCUUGCUGUCACUUAUAGAUGGAUCCGCGCUGCAUUAGCUAGUUGGUAAGGUAACGGCUUACCAAGGCAACGAUGCAUAGCCGACCUGAGAGGGUGAUCGGCCACACUGGAACUGAGACACGGUCCAGACUCCUACGGGAGGCACCAGUAGGGAAUCUUCCGCAAUGGGCGAAAGCCUGACGGAGCAACGCCGCGUGAGUGAUGAAGGUCUUCGGAUCGUAAAACUCUGUUAUUAGGGAAGAACAUAUGUGUAAGUAACUGUGCACAUCUUGACGGUACCUAAUCAGAAAGCCACGGCUAACUACGUG